UUUCCAGAGGAAGGCUCGUCCGCUCUGGGUUAGUCGGGUCCUAAGCUGAGGCCGACAGGCGUAGGCGAUGGAUAACAGGUUGAUAUUCCUGUACCACCUAUAAUCGUUUUAAUCGAUGGGGGGACGCAGUAGGAUAGGCGAAGCGUGCGAUUGGAUUGCACGUCUAAGCAGUAAGGCUGAGUAUUAGGCAAAUCCGGUACUCGUUAAGGCUGAGCUGUGAUGGGGAGAAGACAUUGUGUCUUCGAGUCGUUGAUUUCACACUGCCGAGAAAAGCCUCUAGAUAGAAAAUAGGUGCCCGUACCGCAAACCGACACAGGUAGUCAAGAUGAGAAUUCUAAGGUGAGCGAGCGAACUCUCGUUAAGGAACUCGGCAAAAUGACCCCGUAACUUCGGGAGAAGGGGUGCUCUUUAGGGUUAACGCCCAGAAGAGCCGCAGUGAAUAGGCCCAAGCGACUGUUUAUCAAAAACACAGGUCUCUGCUAAACCGUAAGGUGAUGUAUAGGGGCUGACGCCUGCCCGGUGCUGGAAGGUUAAGAGGAGUGGUUAGCUUCUGCGAAGCUACGAAUCGAAGCCCCAGUAAACGGCGGCCGUAACUAUAACGGUCCUAAGGUAGCGAAAUUCCUUGUCGGGUAAGUUCCGACCCGCACGAAAGGCGUAACGAUUUGGGCACUGUCUCAACGAGAGACUCGGUGAAAUCAUAGUACCUGUGAAGAUGCAGGUUACCCGCGACAGGACGGAAAGACCCCGUGGAGCUUUACUGUAGCCUGAUAUUGAAAUUCGGCACAGCUUGUACAGGAUAGGUAGGAGCCUUUGAAACGUGAGCGCUAGCUUACGUGGAGGCGCUGGUGGGAUACUACCCUAGCUGUGUUGGCUUUCUAACCCGCACCACUUAUCGUGGUGGGAGACAGUGUCAGGCGGGCAGUUUGACUGGGGCGGUCGCCUCCUAAAAGG
rnacentral:rRNA from 1 species